rnacentral:rRNA from 1 species
UGCUAGUCGUGCGCCUCCUAGCUAUGGUGGAGGCGCGGCACACAGCUCAGUAACACGUGGCUAACCUGCCCUUGGGACGGAAACAUCCCCGGGAAACUGGGGCCAAUGUCCGAUAGGCGAAGAUCUCUGGAACGAGUCUUCACCCAAAAGACGUUUGGGGCAUGCUUCUAGACGUUGCCCAAGGAUGGGGCCGCGGCCGAUCAGGUUGUUGGUGAGGUAACGGCUCACCAAGCCUAUUACCGGUACGGGCCGUGGGAGCGGUAGCCCGGAGAUGGGCACUGAGACAAGGGCCCAGGCCCUACGGGGCGCAGNNGUCGCGAAAACUUCGCAAUAAGCGAAAGUUGGACGGGGGCUAUCCCGAGUGCCAUCUGCUGAGGNUGNNUUUUUACCUAGNANAGAUAGCCGGGGGGAAAUAAAA